UUUUUUUUACAUUUACCAGAGUCCAUUUUUCAACUUGUAGAUGAGAUGUAUGUUGUGUCUAUGGUUUUGUUAUUAAAACCCCUCCAUAUUUCUCAUCUAUCUCCCGCAGCCCGGUCCAGUCGUUGUCAUCUACAUCUGGAGAAGGCUGAGCUACUAUUAUGAGAUAUGAAGAACAGAAAAGUACCAGAUCUCUGACUCACCACACAGCUGGCAAAGCCGAUGCCCCCCAGCCGAGGGCUGAUGUAGUUCCACACGCCAAUGCUGCCCCUGCGGAUACGCUGGCCCACUGCAAGCUCCAGGAAGAACAGCGGGAUGCCGA